UCCCUUUCCCCCCUCAGAAAUUUCCCUUGUUACCUGAGGCAUCCGCUAUACGUUGCACGUUAUAGGACUUUGCUUGCUUGGGGAGCUUCAGUAGUACCCUUCCCUCCAGAGUGCAGAGAGGCAUCCAGAAGACUGCCCUGCAACCCUUUGUGGUUAGUAGAGGAUCCAGGGAAAGGGGUACCUAGGAGGACACGUGACCUUGUGAAGGGAGCCAGAACUGAAGCAGCACUUGGCACGCUGAAGGGAGGAAGCACCCAUCUUUGGUGUCCUUCUCAUCUUCCACUCUUUUCCUCACGCAAUUUCUGAAGUUCCAUUGAAAGGAGACCUUGAAGGUUGCAAGACAACUCCAAGAUGUGCAGUUCAGUUGCUCCCAGGCUGUGGUUCUUAACAGACCGUCGCAUCAGAGAAGAUUACCCUCAGCAGGAGAUCCUGAGAGCACUGAAGGCCAAGUGCUGUGAAGAGGAGCUAGAUUUCCGGGCCUUGGUGAUGGAUGAGGUGGUGCUGACCAUUGAGGAUGGAAAUCUCGGUCUCCGAGUGAAUGGCGAGCUCAUUACUGCUUACCCACAGGUGGUGGUUGUGCGUGUACCAACACCUUGGGUCCAGAGUGACAGUGAUAUCACAGUCCUUCGCCACCUAGAGAAGAUGGGCUGUCGAUUGAUGAAUCGUCCCCAGGCCAUCCUCAACUGUGUCAACAAGUUCUGGACAUUUCAAGAACUUGCUGGUCAUGGUGUGCCUCUUCCAGACACUUUUUCAUAUGGUGGUCAUGAGAAUUUUGCCAAAAUGAUUGAUGAGGCGGAAGUGCUGGAGUUCCCUAUGGUGGUGAAGAACACGCGGGGUCACCGAGGUAAAGCUGUAUUCCUGGCGCGAGACAAGCACCAUUUGGCAGACUUAAGCCACUUGAUCCGUCACGAUGCCCCUUACUUAUUUCAAAAAUACGUGAAAGAGUCCCAUGGCAAGGAUGUGCGUGUCAUCGUAGUAGGAGGCCGUGUGGUGGGCACCAUGCUUCGCUGCUCGACAGACGGGAGGAUGCAGAGUAACUGCUCACUUGGUGGCGUAGGGAUGAUGUGCUCACUGAGUGAACAAGGCAAGCAGUUGGCGGUCCAAGUGUCAAACAUCCUGGGGAUGGACGUAUGUGGCAUUGACCUGCUGAUGAAGGACGACGGUUCAUUCUACGUCUGCGAGGCCAAUGCAAAUGAGCCAAAAAAAGUCAAAAUCCAGAGAAAACCUUCCCUUCUCCCCUUUCUGAUGGCGAGAGUGAGAACUUAUGAAAAGUCCUUGAGAAUGUUCCUUCCUAAACUUUUCCCCCCAGUAAUGCAAGCGGGUAAAAUGGUAAAUGCAGCAGUUUGGUGACAUCCAAAACCCACCUGUUGUCAGACACACCCACUUCUUGCGUCUCAGCACUGGGCAGGCCUAUUCCUUUAUUUGUGUAUAUUUUUGUGCAACAGCUGCUAUAGGACACGGGUGUAACACUUUCAGGCAUGUGUUGGGUGUCUUUGGGGAAGAGAUUUGUGGGUUUGUAACAAUGCCUAAAAAAAGAGAAUUUCUUUUCCUCAGAUUUGUGAACAAAUUGAUGUUAGCUCACAGUUUUGCAUCUCUUAACCUGAUUUCAUAUAUGUUAUGUGAAGGUUUGUUCUUGUAAGAAAGACAGUGCUAGUUCUUUGCAGUGUCUUCACAUACUCUUUGGUGGGGAGAGUUGAUAAAAAUUUCAUUCUGCAGAAGUUACUAACUUAAUAUUUAAUGUUGGUUGAAAGGUAGUUUUACAGAUCAUACUCUUUCCUCUUUACGUAGUGGCUUUCAGAGCCUUAUGUUGAUCUUGGUUGUGCCCAGUGCUUUGCCUAGUGUAUGGGGGAAAUGUUGCAGAACUUGAAUAAGCCAUGACGUCUUAGAUGGUGUAGAUGAUAAUUAUGUGCAUGCUGAACAAGAACUUCUUCUAUAUGCCCUUCUGCUGCAACAGAGUAAUAAAACUGGUAGGUGGCAGCAGCAGCAGAAGAAACUCAUGUGACUGACCUGAGAAACCUCCAGUACUGGGAGAAAUGGAUUGCAAAAUGCUAACUCAAGUAAGGGGGACGGAAGAGAAAGGCAGAGUCCCUGAACCGCCACUUUGAAUGCCUCAUGUAUUGUCUUGCAUCCUGCCCCAGGGAAAAGUGCCCUCUACUUUUGAGACCACUGAGCUAGACCUCAUCAAAGAAUUAGUAAUCACAUUGAAGUCAGGAAUGACUCCUAGGUAUGGGAACUAAGCUGGAUCUGAGUUACUGAUAUCCAGGCAACUAGUCUCCAGUGCACAUCAGAUAUCACUGAAGACUAUGAACAGCUGGUGUACUUUACUCAAUAGCUUCUCACUUCUCAUACAGCCUUCAAAAGUAUGUGAAACACAGGCUGGAAAUCCCAGAGCUGAGUUCCUGCAAAGUGAAUGGAAUUGAAUGUGCAAAAUGAAAAAAAGUAUUUUGGAUGGAGAUUUGAAAGGAAUCUUGUUAAAUAUAAUGAUGAGCAAAGUCUAUGUGUGAGAUGAAGCUCAUAGAGAAAGUUUUUUAAAUCAGUCAGACUGGAGAUGUGUGAGAAAGUGAAUUCUGGUGGUAGAGGCAAGGGAGUCUGAAGCAUAUGUUGGUCUGUCAGGAGACAUGAAGAUGAGGCAAUAAACUAGCUUUUGCUGAUCUUGAGUGUUCCCAGCUUUUUGUUGCAAGGAGGAAUCUCACCAGACUUUCUGUACCUAAUAUGUGCUAGGCAUGCUAGGCUUUGGGGACUGGUUAUCAAGAAGGAGAUCUAAAAGCUGAUACAGAACUCUUGAUCUGGAAACUAACCAUAGCACUUGCUGGAAUAGAAUGGUUGUUCAUGUGGAUUAAAAAUGUUACUGCACUGAAUUUAGAUGACAGCAAUACUUGGGAAGAAGGGUGGUCAUCUGGCCCUGAACAUGGGUUUGUUUGUCCAGAUAUACCUGUAGCUUUUGCUUCUCAGCAUAGUAAAGAAUAGAGCUAUAAAAAGAUAUGCAAGCCUUUUUAAUGAGCAAGGGGACCAUUUUAAUGACUUAGUCAUCUGUUAAGAAAAGAUAUUUUGGCUGUACAACAAGCAGGAAUUUAUAGUACUGUCCCAGAUCCUCCAUGUUUCCACAUGGCUGUCAAUACAAAAGGGUAUUUUAUUUCCUAAUAGAUGUGACAUAGCAAAGCAUCCUGUUUUCUUCUGUGGCAGAGAUUUGAAGAAAGCAGAAUAUUUUUCAUUCUUGCCAUAGCCUUUUACAGGCAGGCAAGGGGUAUUAUGUAUGUGAAAGGAGGAAUGGAUAGGUUCCUCAUGCCAUCUGAAAAGGGAGUUAUGGGUUAGGCUGCUAGAAAAGUUAACAUUCACACUGUACUUAGGCAAGGCAUCUUCACGGAAUUUCUGCAUCCCCUUUUUGUUCCAUGGAGAAACACUGCAAGUGUUACUAGAAUAUACAGAGUCUGCAUAGUGGUAUGUCAGUGUAUUAGAGCUCUGCCAAGUGUGUGUGGGGGAAGGGCUCAUAAAAGAUUUAUGUGAAUUUCUGUAUGCUUUUUUUAUUUGGAGGCAGUUUGCCAUGUGCAACUGCAGAUAGUGCUCAUUUUUAGUGUAAUAGAGGGGUUCUUUUGUUUGGAAGGAGGAAAAUGUGUUUGGGGAGUUAAAUACGUCGUUCUGUUGUCCAUUUCUGUAAGGAAGCAGAAUGGUUAAGGGAAAGCAGUCAAAAUGAGUAAGAACUACACAGCUAGUUGUAGUCUGGUGUCAGUUGAAUACUCAUUGAUGUUGCUGAGGAGAAGGCUUUUUGGUCUGUCUUACAGUUAAAGGAGACACUGAGACAGCCAAGAAGGGACUUUGAAAGUGUUUCAGACAGUGAAUUGUGUCUUUUGUUGCCUUUUCUUUUGCUUUCAGAACUCUUUGAUGUGCUUCUGUAGAUGUAUCUUAUUAAAAAAGUGUAGGCUGCUGAAAUGUCUCUGGUGCGUAGGGCUGAGGUUGGUCGAACAAGGGUGUGGAAUGCUCUUUAACCAAGAGUAAUCAGCUGUGCUGAUCUUGGCCUUGAUCAGAUGAGGACAGAGAGUUGCAGUCUAGCACAGGUUUUGCUGGACUGCAUUUAUUGCAAUAUAUGCAGUAGUAGCAGAAGCCUUUGUCAGUAGUAACCUGUAUAGCUGUCACUAGAAAGUGCAGUUGCUUUUGAUCAGUGAUGAAUAUUUAAAUUUCCCUUACCAUGUAAUGCUUUUCAUUUUCCUGACUACAGCUAUUCUGUUACGUUAAUCUGUGGUUUAUUGUAGUAUAUUUACAGUUUUCCAUAUCAGGACUGAAUUUCUGUCUUAGAGAAAUUGCACUGUAAUUGAGGUGUGGAGAGGAAACGAAGUUUUAUUAGAGGUCA